rnacentral:lncRNA from 1 species
CCUUGACGGUCACACGGCAUAUGUGUAAAUUCCUGUGUCCAUCAGGGUGUACAAGGUCCUGGCUCUCUCCACCGAGUCUUGGGGGAGCCAAUUCAUUCCACAUACUCUAAGAAAUCUCCAUGGGCGCCUACACUGGCCUCGCUGCUGUGUGUUGUAAUGGUUUACUGUCAUGUUUUCUGGACAAGACCAGCCUAGUGGAGACAACACUAAAUGCAUACAGAAACAGGAGGACUUUGAGUUCAAGGCCAGCAUGGACUACAUAGACCAGGUCCAUCUCAAAACAACAACGACAGCAACAACAACAAAGAAAGAACAACGCCCAUUAAAAACUACAAGCAGAGCAACACAAAAACAGGUGUAUAUGAAAUUAACAAAUGACUAAGUUGGUGGGUUAUUUAAUUUUUACUUAUGUGUGUGUGUGUAUGUAUGUAUGCAUGCAUGCAUGCAUGCAUGAGUUAAUAUGCACAUGUUAGUGUCCUCAG